GAGAAUGUGGUUUUUGUUAAAGGAAAAGUAUUUUUUUUCUAGUUUAGAGGUUAUUUGAAGGCUCCUUUAAGUUGAAAGGAUAAAAAAGAAUGACAGGAAAAACUGAAUGGAUAUAAAAAAUUGGGGAAAGAAAGAGAAUUGAAAAAAUUGUGAGAGAUUAUAAAAUGUUCAUGCAAAUCUUUUCUGUAGUCAAAGCUGAUUGAGAUUAGAUGGAUUUGUUUAUAUUUUAUUAAAUUAACUUUAGUGUUAAUAAUACACUGAUGAAAAGUACAAUUUGGUUUUCUCUUUUGAACAAGAUUUUCAUGUAGUACUAAUAAGAAAUGGUAAAAUAUUUGUUCACCUUUUCAGUAAAAAAGGAAGAAGACUUUGCCUCAUGCUGUCUUUAUUAGGUCUUUUGAUUGUUUGGAAAACUUGAUCUCCUCUCUAUCAAAUAGUAAAGGGUUUUUUUUCACUUUUUGAAAUCUUUUAAUUAUCAUUUUGACUAAAUGAAUGACUAAUAUUUUAUAGUGACUUGUGAUCUUAUUUUGAUAUCAAGUGUUUUAAACCUUUAAUAUUUGACAAACAUCCCAAAAUCAAAUUUCAAAUUCUAAAUUAAGUGUUUUUUAAGCUUGAACUAAAUAUUUGGACAUUCCAAAAAGAGCCCCUGGAAGUCCAAGAGAGACAUAUUAGGCUUAUUUGGUAUGUUAAAAUUAUAUGGGAAGCAUUGUCAAAUAAAAAGUGAUGUCUAACUUUCUUUGAGUUAUAUUCAUAUGGAUAUGUUAUUAAUGUAUUCCAAAAUUGUAUGAGAUUCCUAAAAUAUUAUAUAUCUUGGUAUAUUCAGUAAAUUGCUUAAUUCUGAUGCUCUUUUUCUAAAAGCUCUCUGUUCAUUCUAAAGUGAUGUGUCUUCAAGGAAGUUCAUGGGAAAGACUGAUAGGACACAAUUGAAAACACUGGUUAUAUUACAAAAGCUUUGACUGGUAAUUUUGUGUCAUAUUUUCAAAUGUGACCAGGCUGCUUUGAGGAAUUGCAGUUUACUUUAAAGCCAACAGACUUGGAAAAAGACUGGCCGGGUACCAUAUCUACACUGUUCCCUUACAGGGUUCCUGACCUUGUGAAAAGAAAACUGAGUAAUGACCUACAGACAUGGUUAAUCAGUUAUACCCUUCUCCUGACAUACAGCUAAUCACCAUAGACUAAUGCAGACCUCCUUAUGAAACAGGCGUUUCUACCUCCAAGGGAAAAAGAUAACAAAUCUUUGGCUGACCAACUGAUGUUUAUCAGCAAUGCUUCCUCACAUCAAAUCUUUAUCAAAAUGAAGAAAUGUGAAAUGUGAUAUACAAAACAGUAUCACUUGGUUCAGAGCUCUAAAAUGGAGUCAAGAAGCCACUCUAUUACUACCUACACAACAUGAAACCCUGCAGGAAAAAAAAAAAGGAACAGGAACUUGCCUUGAACCUUUGAACUGGGCUAAACUACAAUGACCACAUCUUAGAAAGCAGCUGAAUUUCACCAGCACUGCAACUCCUGCAUAGCAACAACCAAUGUACCAUGGACUUAUGUACUAAGCCAGCCACCUCCACCAAUGAUAAUUCUUUCAAAACAACUUGUGCAAUCACUCUCGGCAUCCUUUGAAAAAUUCCUACUCUCCUUCCUGUCUUUGGAAAACAAUUUGGCUCUUAGCCAAAUCCGUGUCUCCCAAAUUGCAACUUUUAAGGCCUCAAAUGCCUAGUCUUACUGCAUUGCACUCUGGUGUUUUGCCCCUUCUUACUUGACAUAUUAUACUUACAUCUCCAUUUCUAGUUGUGUUGAUUUUUUUAUUUUUUUAUUUUUAUUUUUAUUUUUGGAUAGUGUCUCACUCUGUCACCCA